GACGAACGCUGGCGGCGUGCUUAACACAUGCAAGUCGAACGCUGAAGCUUGGUGCUUGCACUGGGUGGAUGAGUGGCGAACGGGUGAGUAAUAAGUGAGUAACCUGCCCUUGACUCUGGGAUAAGCCUGGGAAACUGGGUCUAUACUGGAUACGACAUGUCACCGCAUGGUGGUGUGUGGAAAGGGUUUUACUGGUUUUGGAUGGGCUCACGGCCUAUCAGCUUGUUGGUGGGGUAAUGGCUCACCAAGGCGACGACGGGUAGCCGGCCUGAGAGGGUGACCGGCCACACUGGGACUGAGACACGGCCCAGACUCCUACGGGAGGCAGCAGUGGGGAAUAUUGCACAAUGGGCGGAAGCCUGAUGCAGCGACGCCGCGUGAGGGAUGACGGCCUUCGGGUUGUAAACCUCUUUCAGCACGGAAGAAGCGAAAGUGACGGUACGUGCAGAAGAAGCGCCGGCUAACUACGUG
rnacentral:rRNA from 1 species